rnacentral:rRNA from 1 species
UACGUAGGGUGCAAGCGUUAAUCGGAAUUACUGGGCGUAAAGCGUGCGCAGGCGGCUAUGCAAGACAGAUGUGAAAUCCCCGGGCUUAACCUGGGAACUGCAUUUGUGACUGCAUGGCUAGAGUACGGGUAGAGGGGGAUGGAAUUCCGCGUGUAGCAGUGAAAUGCGUAGAUAUGCGGAGGAACACCGAUGGCGAAGGCAAUCCCCUGGACCUGUACUGACGCUCAUGCACGAAAGCGUGGGGAGCAAACAGG